UGCUCGAAGUGCUCAAGUGCGCCACACUGACAAAACCAGCAGAAUUCAGUGCACUGAAAGUACCCGGAUGGUGCACUGCAAACGGGCAAAAAAUGUAGUGUAAAACGAUGGACACUACUCGCCCUAAGCGGCCGCCAUCUUGGCGACGUAGCGGAAGAGGAGGAGCCCUUUCGCCAGCUUUUCAUUUUAUUUCUAAAACAAUGGCGGACAGCACAAGCGGUAGACCACGAAGCUACAGUACAUAGACGUUUCCUGGAGGUGCUGGCUGGUCCUCUGCUGCCCUCCCGACAUCUGGCUCCAAUGACCUCUGGCACCUCACAUCCACCUCCAGGGCCUUUAAGAAGAUGGACCGCCAUCAAUAGCCCCCACCACUCUGCUGAAGGCUGCCGACCCAGCUAGACGGGUGAAGCGGGCACCUAGCCGUGGGAGUUCCUCUCCUGGAGGGUGGCGGACAACAGUGGACAGGAGCGCAGCGAUCUGCCCACUCAUCCUGUGCACCAGCCGGUGAACGGUGGCCCGGGGCCUGUCGAAGGCCCUGGCCACCACCCGAUAGGAGGUGGUGCUGGCAAGUCAAAAAAUAAAAACUAGACAGGAGAUCUCGGGCCCCAACCGUGGUCACAGUCAGUGCCCAGCACAGCCAUGAGGGCGUUGAAUGACUCUCGGUGAGCCUGAAGUCCACCCUCAUGUCACUGUGGCCAUCACAAUACAACGCCAGCAGUGGCAUUGCAACAUUGAUACGGCAGCGCCGACUGGGUGGCUGCUGUAGUGUGUGGGGAGGGGAAGGGAAGAUUAUAUUAAUAUGUCAUUUUUUCAAUAAAAUGUUGUCAUUGA